rnacentral:lncRNA from 1 species
CAGAACAUUAUGGUAUGUUAAGAAGCAAGGAAAAAUUGAAUAGUAAUAUUGGGCCAGGUGGCAACCAGGAAGUACUGAGAAUCCCAUAAGCAAAAGUUCCUGGAUAUUUUCUGCCAUUUAUAAGAUUCAGAUCCAGCGACUCCAGAUCAGGUUGAGACAUGGCUGCUCAGAGCCUCCCCUUAUGUACUGGGAGCAGUUCCGAGAGAAGGCAGAACAAUCAUGGGAUGGACAGCCAUUCUAAGGGGUACUUUCCAGCUUUCACCCCUUCAUGCUACACAUCAAAGAGCAGCAGACUCAGCUCUACCAGGCAUAACUGCAAACCCUUUCUCACUAAUAGGAGACAGUACAAGCUCAGACAGUAAUGAGAUCUGGAGUGAUGCCAUAGGCACCCUGUUCUUUGAGUCGUUGCUGAGAAGUUUUUUUUUUCUUGUCCUAUUACAACAUUUUAUAACCUUAUGAAUCAAUGGAUACUUUUAUUG